GACGAACGCUGGCGGCGUGCUUAACACAUGCAAGUCGAGCGGAGCGGCGAACGGGUGAGUAACGCGUGAGUAACUGCCCCCCUCCCUGGGAUAACAGUUGGAAACGGCUGCUAAUACCGGAUAGUGGGGGAUGACUCGCGUCCUAUCAGCUUGUUGGUGGGGUAGUGGCCUACCACGGCGACGACGGGUGGCCGGCCUGAGAGGGCGACCGGCCCCAUUGGACUGAGAGACGGGCCGAACUCAGACGGGAGGCAGCAGUGGGGAAUAUUGCACAAUGGGGGAAACCCUUAUUCAUGAACGCCGCGUGCGAGAUGACGGCCUUCGGGUUGUAAACCGCUUUCAGCCAUGACGCGGUAGUGGCAGAAGAAGCACCGGCUAACUACGUGCCAGCAGCCGCGGUAAUAC
rnacentral:rRNA from 1 species